CGAAAAACCAACGCUGAAAAACGCCGGUCACGACAACCAACAACCAUGUGUCGCCGGGUAGAUUCGGCGCAGGCGACGCAUGGGCGUCUGAAGAAAUACCUGAGGCAGUGGUAAAAAGUUGCAAAACCUGCAAUGGAUAUAGAGGGAUUCUAGCAGGGUUUAAUGAUCCGUCAAUGCUAUAGCUAGCCGUUCAAUUACUUACAGUUA
rnacentral:sRNA from 1 species